CGAUGCAUAGCCGACCUGAGAGGGUGAUCGGCCACACUGGAACUGAGACACGGUCCAGACUCCUACGGGAGGCAGCAGUAGGGAAUCUUCCGCAAUGGGCGAAAGCCUGACGGAGCAACGCCGCGUGAGUGAUGAAGGUCUUCGGAUCGUAAAACUCUGUUAUUAGGGAAGAACAUAUGUGUAAGUAACUGUGCACACCUUGACGGUACCUAAUCAGAAAGCCACGGCUAACUAUGUGCCAGCAGCCGCGGUAAUACGUAGGUGGCAAGCGUUAUCCGGAAUUAUUGGGCGUAAAGCGCGCGUAGGCGGUUUUUUAAGUCUGAUGUGAAAGCCCACGGCUCAACCGUGGAGGGUCAUUGGAAACUGGAAAACUUGAGUGCAGAAGAGGAAAGUGGAAUUCCAUGUGUAGCGGUGAAAUGCGCAGAGAUAUGGAGGAACACCAGUGGCGAAGGCGACUUUCUGGUCUGUAACUGACGCUGAUGUGCGAAAGCGUGGGGAUCAAACAGGAUUAGAUACCCUGGUAGUCCACGCCGUAAACGAUGAGUGCUAAGUGUUAGGGGGUUUCCGCCCCUUAGUGCUGCAGCUAACGCAUUAAGCACUCCGCCUGGGGAGU
rnacentral:rRNA from 1 species